rnacentral:rRNA from 1 species
GGAUGAACGCUGGCGGCGUGCCUAAUACAUGCAAGUCGAGCGAACAGACGAGGAGCUUGCUCCUCUGACGUUAGCGGCGGACGGGUGAGUAAUACGUGGAUAACCUACCUAUAAGACUGGGAUAACUUCGGGAAACCGGAGCUAAUACCGGAUAAUAUAUUGAACCGCAUGGUUCAAUAGUGAAAGACGGUUUUGCUGUCACUUAUAGAUGGAUCCGCGCCGCAUUAGCUAGUUGGUAAGGUAACGGCUUACCAAGGCAACGAUGCGUAGCCGACCUGAGAGGGUGAUCGGCCACACUGGAACUGAGACACGGUCCAGACUCCUACGGGAGGCAGCAGUAGGGAAUCUUCCGCAAAGGGCGAAAGCCUGACGGAGCAACGCCGCGUGAGUGAUGAAGGUCUUCGGAUCGUAAAACUCUGUUAUUAGGGAAGAACAAAUGUGUAAGUAACUAUGCACGUCUUGACGGUACCUAAUCAGAAAGCCACGGCUAACUACGUG